rnacentral:rRNA from 1 species
UCGGGGGACAGAGUGACAGGUGGUGCAUGGUUGUCGUCAGCUCGUGUCGUGAGAUGUUGGGUUAAGUCCCGCAACGAGCGCAACCCUUAAGCUUAGUUGCCAUCAUUAAGUUGGGCACUCUAAGUUGACUGCCGGUGACAAACCGGAGGAAGGUGGGGAUGACGUCAAAUCAUCAUGCCCCUUAUGAUUUGGGCUACACACGUGCUACAAUGGACAAUACAAAGGGUAGCGAAACCGCGAGGUCAAGCAAAUCCCAUAAAGUUGUUCUCAGUUCGGAUUGUAGUCUGCAACUCGACUAUAUGAAGCUGGAAUCGCUAGUAAUCGUAGAUCAGCAUGCUACGGUGAAUACGUUCCCGGGUCUUGUACACACCGCCCGUCACACCACGAGAGUUUGUAACACCCGAAGCCGGUGGAGUAACCAUUUGGAGCUAGCCGUCGAAGGUGGGACAAAUGAUUGGGGUGAAGUCGUAACAAGGUAGCCGUAUCGGAAGGUGCGGCUGGAUCACCUCCUUU